rnacentral:rRNA from 1 species
AUUGAACGCUGGCGGCAUGCCUAACACAUGCAAGUCGAACGGCAGCACGGUCUAGCUUGCUAGAUGGGUGGCGAGUGGCGCACGGGUGAGUAACGCGUAGGAAUAUGCCUUGAAGUGGGGGAUAACUUGGGGAAACUCAAGCUAAUACCGCAUAAGCUCUUAGGAGGAAAGCUGGGGACCGUAAGGCCUGGCGCUUCAAGAUUAGCCUGCGGCCGAUUAGCUAGUUGGUGGGGUAAGGGCCUACCAAGGCGACGAUCGGUAGCUGGUCUGAGAGGAUGGCCAGCCACACUGGGACUGAGACACGGCCCAGACUCCUACGGGAGGCAGCAGUGGGGAAUAUUGGACAAUGGGGGCAACCCUGAUCCAGCAAUGCCGCGUGUGUGAAGAAGGCCUGAGGGUUGUAAAGCACUUUCAGUGGGGAGGAGGAUUGACAGGUUAAGAGCUAGUUAAUUGGACGUUACCCACAGAAGAAGCACCGGCUAACUCCGUGCCAGCAGCCGCGGUAA